rnacentral:misc_RNA from 1 species
AGCAGCCGCGGUAAUUCCAGCUCCAAUAGCGUAUAUUAAAGUUGUUGCAGUUAAAAAGCUCGUAGUUGAAUUUCGGGAUCAAUAUGUUGGUCGUGCCUCGGUACGUACUAGCUUAUUGGUUUCUCCUUUCUGAAGAACCAUGAUGUCAUUUAUUUGGUGUCGUGGGGAAUCAGGACUGUUACUUUGAAAAAAUUAGAGUGUUUAAAGCAGGCUCACGCUUGAAUACAUUAGCAUGGAAUAAUGAAAUAGGACGUUUGAUUCUAUUUUGUUGGUUUCUAGGAUCGACGUAAUGAUUAAUAGGGAUAGUUGGGGGCAUUAGUAUUCAAUUGUCAGAGGUGAAAUUCUUGGAUUUAUUGAAGACUAACUACUGCGAAAGCAUUUGCCAAGGAUGUUUUCAUUAAUCAAGAACGAAAGUUAGGGGAUCGAAGACGAUCAGAUACCGUCGUAGUCUUAACCAUAAACUAUGCCGACUAGGGAUCGGAUGAUGUUAAUUUUUUAAUGACUCA